UUUUCUAACUAGCAAUUUCGAGUGCAAGUGCCACAGUGUCAGCUAAAGAAACACAACUGCGGGUUUUCUGCAGAGCAAAAUGGUUCUGAAAUGUCACUGAAUAGCUCACAAAGGACGCCAAUCUACGACAACAGAGACAUAAGCAUAUAGGAGAAAGGGUCCACACAUCCUGCUUUCAAAGUGUGGAGAAAAGAGAGAGAAAGGGAGAGAAGAGUCAUGGACCCUACUUUAUGGUUGCCAUGGAUGCAAGGUCAGCCUUUCACACUUGGAUCUACCAGCAGAGUUCAGACAGGUCAACGUGUGACCGGCUCAGGCCCUGGGGUUAAAAGUUCAAGCAGCUAUGGAAAAACCAAUAUGUCCACACAGAGUAUGCUGUACAAUUUAUUUCAAUUUACAUCAAGCCAUGCAUAUAAAAUUUAGAUAAAUUCCAUUCAGAUCUGAUGUUGCCUGACACACAAUGUAUGCAAACAGAUGUCUGUGGGGCUUUUUCUGUGCUUUAGAAAACAACAUUAAAUUU
rnacentral:antisense_RNA from 1 species